ensembl:lncRNA
CCAGGGAUUCACUUUAUCUUGUCUAAAAUCACAGCAUGAGUGAAUGGCAGAGUCAGAAUAUGAACUCAGAUCUCCUGAAUGCUUUGUGUUAUACUCUACUGCCAUAUGCAGGCUGUGGAACCUUAGACCUGCCUUUCAGCCUCAGCUCUCCUUCUGUUUGCUGCCUGGCUUGAAAAAGAUAAUAUACAUGGCAGUGUCAUGCAAACCCCAACAUAGUUUGUCUGUCUUUGCGAGGCAUUCCCAUCGUCAUCAUUUCACCUGUGGUCAGUGUUUGUCAAUGUGCCUAAGCUUUUCAGAACUGGGAAUUGUAAGGAGACUGUCAGCUCUAAUAGUGGACUGAGCCUCUGUGGGGAGAAUGUGUGGAGUAUAAUGAAUUCCUCUGUGCUCUAGAAUAUGUUUCGUUUGGUCUUUGUUCUACAAAUUGCCCCCGUGGUGAUCAAAACCAUAAAGGCUUUCCAAAACAGACGAUCAUGCCUGUCAGGUGAGCACACACUGCGAGGAGAGAAGGGAGAAGGAACAUUCCAUUGGCAGCGCCUCUUCGGUUCCAGGCCCUUUACACACUUGAGAUACUCCUCGCAGUUGCCUGAUGAGUAAUGUAAUGCUCCCAUUCCUGUGAAUCACAUAAUAUUCCCAUUUUACAGGUGAGGAGAGAGGCUCAAGAGUAAACCCCAGGAGAUCGUGGAGCUUGGAUUCUCACCCUGCUCCUCUGACUCAAAGCAGCAGUUCCCAGUGUGCUCCCAUGGCCCUUAAGGAAAAACUGGAGACUGAUGCUUAUAGGGAGAUAAAUGAAGCAAACCAGGACAUGUUCAUGGACAUGGGAGACCAUGCUCAUUUGGAAAGAGCUCCAUGGUAUAUUGCUCGCCAGGCUCCUCUGUCCAUGGAAUUCUCCCAACCCAGGCAUCAAACCUGGGUCUCCCGCACUGCAGGAAGAUUCUUUGCUGUCUGAACCACCAAGGAUUUAGAUUAAUGGUAUGUAAAUAUCUUGCUGAGGAGAUUGUCUCUGGAUGUGGUCCUGGCCCCGUUGCAGAGUUGGUAAUACCAGUUGCUGGAUCUUCUGCCUGGGCAUGUGUCUCCUUUGAUAUUCAGUUGAGGGGGAGCAUGCUUCGGGGCUUGAAGUGAUGGAAGCGGGUGCAGCAGCCCCCCUGCCGGAGGGUGGGAGAGUGAGGGUAUGCGGUGGGAGAUGGGGUUCAGCUACUGCUGGACUGGCCAAGCACGGUUAGCUGUUAACCAGUUUUCAAGAGAAGUUAUGAAAUCUCUGAUUUUUAACUCUUGGCAAUUAGCUCAAUUUUGUAAACACUACGAGGGCAAACAAAGCAUGGCAGCAGACCAGAUGUAGCCCAUGAGCUGCCGCUUUGCUAUCUUUGCUCCAGCUUUUCUGUUCUUGGAUUAGCAAAACAUUUACUAAACGCCUGCUCCACCUGUGCUCCUCAGCACCUGGCCAAGCGUACUGUUCUGCAGCC